AAGGUUGGUAUGAUGAUCAGCCUCAUCAAGAGAAGAUCAAGAGAAGAUCAGAUCAGAAGAUCAGAAGAUCUACCCAAAGUCAAAAGGAGGCGGGGGCUGGCGCCAGGACCCAUCUGAGCCAAAGGGUCACUGCAAGAAGGGGUCAAGGCUGGAGGAACUUGGGCUUACCAUGAGCUGACUUUUCAAGCUGGAUCACCCCAGGUCUGGACAAGGGUUGGAGGCCUCACCCACUUAGCCACCGCUAGCUGGAAUAUAAAUUGCUGCGACCACUUUGGAGGGUGACUUGAGCAGUACCUGUGCAAACUUCCAAAUGUGUACCCUUUGACCCAGCAGCUCUACUUCUGGGAAUUUAUCCUACAGACACUCUAAAGUCCGUUGGCAGUGAUCGUCACACAAGGAGGUAGCACUGUUUGUCAUGGCCAAGAACAUCCAUCAGUAGGAGACCAGUAAGAAAACUAUGCGUCAUGGACUCCCCCCAUGGAAAGUUAUGCAGUCACCAAAAAGAGGCCCUCAUCGUAUGAAUGGACAUAGGAGGACGUUCGUGAUAUAUGCGUGUAUUAGGAUUUUUUUAAGUGUCUGUAUUUCUUAAUAUAGUGUCUAUUUUUAAGUGUCUAUAUUUAACAGUCUAUAUUUCCGUUAUCUAUAGCUGAGUAACAUGCCCUCCAGAAACUAGCCAUUUGCACCGAGCGUCAGCGGGACUCAAUCAUGGGGCUGCCUUCACCUGGGAGCUUGGCUAGGCUGGAGCUUCCAAGAUGGCCUGUCCUCUACCAGGGCCGUCCAUGUGUGGGACCGCUAACCAUUCUGCAGUCUAGCUGAGCUGCCGGACAGCACGGUGGCUGGAUUCGGGGAGUAUUUCAAGAGGCUAAGCUUCCAGGUGCAAGUACUUACCAAGCUCCAGCUGGCAUCAUGCUUGCUUAUGUACCCUUGCCCAAGACAAGUCACGUGGUCCGUCCAAAGUCACUGUGAUGGGGCUAUGCCAGGGCACGGAUGCUGGGAGGCAAAAUGCAUUGGGGGCCAUCCCAGUAACUGUCCAUCACUAUACAUGGAAUUUGAUAAUAUUUUAUUAAGAAACUACAUAUGAGAGG